rnacentral:rRNA from 1 species
AGCAGCCCAGAGCCUGAAUCAGUGUGUGUGUUAGUGGAAGCGUCUGGAAAGGCGCGCGAUACAGGGUGACAGCCCCGUACACAAAAAUGCACAUACUGUGAGCUCGAUGAGUAGGGCGGGACACGUGGUAUCCUGUCUGAAUAUGGGGGGACCAUCCUCCAAGGCUAAAUACUCCUGACUGACCGAUAGUGAACCAGUACCGUGAGGGAAAGGCGAAAAGAACCCCGGCGAGGGGAGUGAAAAAGAACCUGAAACCGUGUACGUACAAGCAGUGGGAGCCUCUUUAUGGGGUGACUGCGUACCUUUUGUAUAAUGGGUCAGCGACUUAUAUUCUGUAGCAAGGUUAACCGAAUAGGGGAGCCGAAGGGAAACCGAGUCUUAACUGGGCGUUAAGUUGCAGGGUAUAGACCCGAAACCCGGUGAUCUAGCCAUGGGCAGGUUGAAGGUUGGGUAACACUAACUGGAGGACCGAACCGACUAAUGUUGAAAAAUUAGCGGAUGACUUGUGGCUGGGGGUGAAAGGCCAAUCAAACCGGGAGAUAGCUGGUUCUCCCCGAAAGCUAUUUAGGUAGCGCCUCGUGAAUUCAUCUCCGGGGGUAGAGCACUGUUUCGGCAAGGGGGUCAUCCCGACUUACCAACCCGAUGCAAACUGCGAAUACCGGAGAAUGUUAUCACGGGAGACACACGGCGGGUGCUAACGUCCGUCGUGAAGAGGGAAACAACCCAGACCGCCAGCUAAGGUCCCAAAGUCAUGGUUAAGUGGGAAACGAUGUGGGAAGGCCCAGACAGCCAGGAUGUUGGCUUAGAAGCAGCCAUCAUUUAAAGAAAGCGUAAUAGCUCACUGGUCGAGUCGGCCUGCGCGGAAGAUGUAACGGGGCUAAACCAUG